UUUCUAUUUUCUGUUGGAAAUUUUAGAGAAGAUUAUCAAGGUUAUCUGUGCUCAAUGUGUGCAUCUCAGAUCAGCAGCAUCAGCAUCACCUGGGAGCUUGUUAGAGCUGGAGACUCUCAGGCUCCACGGCAGACUUCCUGAAUCAGAAGCUACAAUUUAACAGGAUCCUCGGGUGAUCUGAAAAUGCAAUAAAGUUUGGGAAGCACUGCUGUUGGUCAUUAGACAAUCUAAUGAACUAAGACUUUUGCCGAGCAUCUGAGUUGAAAUUUUUCAAGAUGAAAAGUUGCUAAAGAAAGAGAAAGGGAAGCGGUUUGCUCCAGUAUUCCUCUUUCCACCUUCCCACUGACUGGGAAGCGGCGGUUAGCAGAGCCACAGUCUUGGAUUAGAGAUAAGAGGGACAUGUUGAGGAAGGUGGAGUCUCCCCCACAGCCCUGGACCAGGCUCCAGUGCCAACAAAAGCCAAGAAGAACCUCUGGAGCAAUCAGUCUGUGAGUGCCUGGGAUAUAUUGCUGUUACAAUGGGGUCAGUGAGGGCCAGUUGAGAGAGUGCUAGGCUGACAGACAAGGACCUGGGCUUCCAGCUCUG
rnacentral:lncRNA from 10 species